UCCGAGUUGACCCCGGCAGUCUCCCAUGAGUCCCCGGCACUACCCGCUGGCAACAUGGGACGAGGGUUGCGCUCGUUGCGGGACUUAACCCAACAUCUCACGACACGAGCUGACGACAACCAUGCACCACCUGUGAACCGGCCACAAAGUGGGGCACCUGUUUCCAGGCGUUACCGGUCCAUGUCAAGCCUUGGUAAGGUUCUUCGCGUUGCAUCGAAUUAAUCCGCAUGCUCCGCCGCUUGUGCGGGCCCCCGUCAAUUCCUUUGAGUUUUAGCCUUGCGGCCGUACUCCCCAGGCGGGGAACUUAAUGCGUUAGCUGCGACACGGAGACCGUGGAAUGGUCCCCACAUCUAGUUCCCAACGUUUACGGCAUGGACUAC
rnacentral:misc_RNA from 1 species